CUCUAUCUAUCUAUCUAUCUAUCACAAAAUCAGUAGGAGAUAUAUAUAUACACACACACACACAUAUAUACAUAUGUGUAUGAGAAAUUGCCUCAUGUGAUUAUGGAGACUGAGGAGUCCCCAAAUCUGCUGUGUGCAAACCAGCAACCCAGGAAAGCUGACAGUAUGAUUAAGUCCAAGGACAAAGGUCUGAGAACCUGGAUAGCCAGAGAAGAUGAGAGGAGAUGUCCCAAUUCAAGUACGCAGGCAGGAAGCAAAAGUAGAGAAUUCCUCCAUCCUCCACCUUUUGUUCUAUUUAAUCUCUCAAUGGAUUGGAUGAUGCCCAGUUUCACACAUUGAGGAGUCAAGUCUACGUACUGAAUCCACCCAUUCAAAUGCUAAUCUCUUCCAAGAACACCCUCACAGACACACCCGAAAUAGUGUUAAAUCUGGGCACCCUGUGGCCAUUCAAAAUGACACAUAAAAGUAACCAACACAUGAUCCUGCUUGGAGUUUCAUUGAGUUUUAAUGCAUUUUUUUGCUGUUGCUUGUAAGGUGGAACUUGUUAUUCUUCCAAAAUUAUAUAUUUUUAUUUUGUUUUGAGUAAUAGAUAAAAGCAAGCUAAACUUCCUGUUCGUUCUUAAAUAAUUUCAGUAUGAUAUAGGAAAAUUCAAAUAUAAGAUGAUUUUUUAAGAAUUGAAUUAGCUGUCUUUGUUUCAAUAUUUCCUAAAGGUAAUCAAUUCAUGAAUAGCUACAUUGCUGUAAUUAGUUACAUUGUAUGAUCUAAUUUAAUUAAUUGAGGCAAUUUCACAGUAAAAUUCCUGUGCAAGACAAUGAUUUGGAGGUCAUUUCUGGUACUUUAUGCUACAAAAGUAUCAUUAUCUAUGUUCUAUUAUCAUCCUAAAUAUUUCCUCCCAUCAGUCAAAAAAAGCCUUUAGGCUCAUAACCAUGAAAUUAUUUCAAAGAUAGGGAAACUAUGCCUGACAUUAUCUAAAUACCAAUGGUGUUAGUUAAUGACAACUUAUCAAGUCCAAAUGUAACAGACUAUUAGUAUAUAUGGAAGUGUGGCAAUAAGGCAUGAAUUAAAUAUAGUUGAUGAUGGAGGCUUAAUAAGAUAUGUAUUUUCUUACAGUUCUGAGAUUUUAUGAUUAUUUGGUUGCCCUUCCAAAUGGUGAGAGUCCAGUGACCCCACUUCAAGCAGUCAAUUCAUGAGUAUUGAUGGGUAUAAAUAAAGGAGGUUAAAAAUCUCUGUGUGUGUGUGCGUGCAUGUGUGUGUGUGUGUGUGUGUGUGUUUACAUUUUAUCAACUUAUCAGCUGUCUCCACCCAGUAUUUGAAGAAAACUGUCAUUUUAAUAAAUACAGGAGGACACAGAUAGGUAAAAAAUGAAAGGAACUUUUAGAAACUCAAAAGGAGCUUUGCUGGAAAAAGACUUUGGGGACAUAAAAGACAACAUAAAAUUAAAUAUCUAUUCUCUUAAUUCAAGUUUUUCUGAUAUGCCAUCUCUAAAGUAUUGCUUCCCACUGAUUUUGUCCCUAGUUGUGCUGCUGUUCCUCUGUCACUCCAGAAAACUUGACCAGCUGAAAGAGCCUUUGCAAAAUUAUGACUGAGACAGUGAAAGAGAUCUAAUCUAACUGACUCUGUCUUUGUUCUAAACUUUAAGCUGUCCUUGUUCCUUCCUGGGCAUAGGCUGGACUAACUUUAGGAGGAUCUCAGUUUAUAGAGUUUAUAGUGUAUGGUUUGAAACAAAUGUAAUAGUAGCCCUUUCCCAAAACAAACCUCCUUCUUUCCUGGGGACUAGACUACCUUUGUAGGACUAACAAAUUAGCCACAAGAUUAGACAAUAUGGUUUAGGAGUCAUGCAGCUGGAAGCUACAAGAUUCUGACCCUCCCUAGACUGCUCCUUAGAUCAGUGCUUGAGAUAUUUGUAGACCCAGCACUUUUGUAUCAGCUGUUGGAUCAGCUGUCACCACCCAGAUGGAUAAACUGGCUCAUCUGAUCUUGUGGCCCCCACCCAGGAAUGGACUCAGCACAAGAGGACAACUUCUACUUCCCAUGAUUUCAUCUCCUGUCUCACUGGCUUCCCCCCACGCACCAACUUGUCCUUAAAACCUCUGAUUCUCAAAUGCUGGGGGAGACUGAUUUGAGUAAUAAUAAAAUUCCUGUCUCCAGCACAGAGGCUCUAUGUGAAUUACUUUUUCUCUACUGUAAUUCCCCUGUCUUGAUAAAUUGGCUCUGUCUAGGUAGUGGGCAAGGUGAACCCACUGGGUGGUUACAAAGUUGGGUGCUCAUCUGGGAUUGCCCUUGAAGCUACCUGCCCAUGGUUCAGUAGAUCCCCUCCAGCGAUGGUUCCAGAGACCAGCCCAAGCACCUGCCUAGUUCUCUUAGACCGGCAGCUGACUCUGGUACUCUCUACUGGUGGGGUGCUACCAACUCAAUGUGCAUGGAUUUAAUUGCAAUAGAGAAAUAGUCCUGAGGAGACAUCCCUUUACUGUAGCCCUAUCACAGGGUGUCUUUCUGUAGCCCCAUGAUGGAGUAUCUGUCUGUAGCCCCACUGCAGGUUGUCUGGAGUGGUGAGUAUCCUAGGCAUUGCCAACACCUGCUUCCUUCUCCAGACUGGUUCUGUAGCCCCACAGUGGGGUAUGUCAGUAGCCCCACUGUGGUGUGUCUGUUUGUAACUCUACCACGGGGUGUCUCUGUUCGGCUCCUUUUAGGGUUCUGUUUGUCUGUAGCUCCAUUGAAGGUUUGUCUGUAGCCCCAUGGAGGGGUGCCUGUUUCAGUUCAGCUCCUUGCGGGUCUCAGUUGGUUCUCCCUAACCAGUAGGAAGAGUCUUGGUUCAGGACGACUCUCAAUCAGGAAGAUGUAGGGGAGAUAUCUCAGGUGGAGAAUAGGAGCAUAGUUUGGAAGGGAUAUUCUUGGAAUUCUUGGUUAAGGAUCUGGGUUGGAAAUCCUUCUGUCCAUCUUGUCUUUGUGUGUGUUCGUAUAUGUGGAGGGGAUCCCUGAAGAAAUUGCUAAUGGAAGUCCAGCAGCCCUAACUCAGAGAACCCUCUUUACGUGUCUGUUCACAUUCGAUGAGCCCUGAAGAUAACUCAACAGACCUGCCUGGGAAAAGAGUGAUUUUCAUUGUAAAGUGGCUUGAACCCCACAGCUAUGGCACAGUGAACAGGGUCAUCAAAAGCUACUCCAUUAUUCCAGAAGCUGGAGAGGAAGGGAACCUGGAAACCUGGUAUGCUGGCAAAUAGGUAGAUUCAAUUAUUCUUCUCCAUUUUGUCUUCUUGACAUUCUUGAUGCCCACAAGAGAAAACUUAAGAUAAAUUCUAACAGUCUGGGACUCCUUGGGAAGAACAGAGGAACCACAGACUCCAUUGUGGGAAAAAACUUGGUUUUCCUCACUGAAGCCUGGAAAUUGAAACAGCAAUUGAAAUAGAUCCCUCUCAAAAUCUAAGGCUCUGUUCUGCUUUGCAUUGUGUUAUCUGAUGGUUUUGAAUUUUGGGGGUAUCAAAAAUUACUUUGCAUUAAGGGAGAGCUUUUAGCCUUGUUGUAUAAUAUCUAGGUAAAAAUAUAUACUUCAAGAAAUGGCUAAUGUCAGUUAUGAAGAGAUACUUAGCUCUUUGUAUGCUUGAAUCAGAGAAGCAUGCUGUUGGCCACAUGGAAGAUACAGAAACAUCCCCAACCACCACUGAGGGAAGAUGAGACUCCCAUGGGGGAUAGGUGAUUAUAAUAUGGGCUGAUUGGCUUUGGAUAGCCUUGCAAUAAAGUGCCUAGUGGAAGCACUGUACUGUCUUCUCCCAUAAUAUUUCCCUCCUUUUGGGGAUCCAGGAUCCAGUAUAAAAUGGCACCCUUAAUUUGGGGGAUCAGUUUUGGCCUUCCAGCUGUGCCUCCUUAUUAGGCCCCAGAAACUGGAUGCUUUCCUGGCCUUACUCUUCCAAAGGCUCCACCCUGAAGCCAGUAAUUCAGUUCAGAAACAGGCAAAUGAAAGGCUUACAAGUGCUGAAUCUUCUGUCUGUCUUUACAUGUAUUGUGUGUGUAAUGUUUAUAUAAAAAGAGUUCUGAUUCAUUGGCUCAGAAAAAUAAGUGCUUAAAUCAAAUAUUUUAUCCAAAAAAUAAAAACUUUAAUGUAUUUUGUUCAUCUGACUUAAGUAAUUUUCUGAAAAUAAAGACAGUUUAAAAAUUGUUGGUAAAAUAAAUAUAUCUUCAAAAUUUAGACAUUUUGUCUAAAUUAAGGUGAGAUAUUAGAUUUGCUAAAUGUUUUAAGGUAACAAACUGCUUCUUUAACUUUUAAAAAUUGUUCAAUUUAUCAACUUUGGAGCAUUAGAUUCUGGAUAAGGCCUGAGGAUAUGUGAGGCUUGCCAGGCCCCAUAGCUAUGCUGAAGAGAGUCAGACUUUAUCUGCACUUCUGUCUGAUAUCCUAGGUUCCACAUGAAGUACAUAAGUAAAAUCACUUACUUAUCAGGUUUUCACCAAAAAUAAAAUUUGCUAAGAGUUAACAUUGCGACAUAUAAUUGAGACUACUGGAGAAACAGUUUUACAUACAAGGUGUGUAAGGAAAGUGUAACAUGUUUUUGGUAAAAGAUUAUAGGAAGGCAUGGAAAUAUGUCUUGUGUUAAAGGGAAUGUAAUUUUGUGUAGUUCAGAGGGUUUUAAUGAUUGUCUUAACCUAAAAGAGUACCAGGACAAAACAAGGUUUAAGCAAGGUGAAAGAGGUUUAUGAAGGGUUAGUCUUGUAAAGAAAGGGUUAGUCUUGUAAAGUCUGUGGAUAUGAACAAGUUGGCUAAGAUUUAAAGGGGAUUAUUUAAUUAUUUUCCAUAGGUUGAACAUUAAAAUAAAUGCACACUAUGCAGGGCCAGAAUCUGGUCUGGGUUCAUCUGUGCAAGUAACAGCGUUUUCUUAGAAAAUUGAUGUGCUGUUUGACAGAAAAUUAUAAAGGGUUCUAAACAGUUUAUUAAAAUCUUACCUUAUUGUCAAAUUAAUUAAAACUGGAUAGAUAUAUAAAACUUUAUUCAAGAACUAUCAUUAGCAUUAAAGAUGCACUCAUACAAACAUAAAAUUUGAUACCCUCUUUUGAAAAAUAUUUUUAUAUAAUAUUAAAAGAUAAUGAAAGGGUUUUGUUUGCCUCUUGUGUAAAUAGCAGUAAAAAAAAGGGGAGGAGAGAGAAGAGACAGAUUCAUUUGGCCUCAUGCUAUCUUCACUGGGUCUUGUUGUUUGAAAAGCUAAGUCUCCUUUAUCAAUGUAAAGGUUUUUCUUUUUUUGGAGUUAUCAUUCUGGCCAAAUAAAUGACUGAUGGUGACCUAGGAUUCUAUUUUGUAAUAUCUAGUGUUUUAAACAUUUGAUAUUUGACAAACUUUCCAAAAUCAAAUUAUGCAUUAUGUCUCUUUAUAAACUAAUCUUGUAGGUAUUAGGUCCCCUGAAGUUCAAAAAUGGCAUGUUUGGCUUAUUUUGUAUAAAAAUAAUACAGGAAGCAUUGUCAAAUAUGAAAUGGUGUUUUGGCCUUCUUUGGACUGUAUUUGUAUAAAUAUGUUGUUAAUAAGUGUUCCAAAAUUAUGAGAAACUCCUAUAAUUCUAUGACUUAGUAUAUGUUAUCAGUAAUAAUUUUAACUUUUAUGUUAAAUUAUUGUGUACCACUGAGAUAACAAAUUUACUUGGCAAUUGUAUCUUUAUCUGUGGCUGCUCUAAUAUUUUUGUAAUCCAUGGACAAUUGUCUUCUUUUGAUCCUCUUUAAAUGAUAGUUCUGUAAUUAGCUAUCAAACUCCAAUAGGUGCUGUUAAAUGAAUGUUUCUGAUUAAUAACUCUGGAGAGUGUGACAUUAGAAUAGAGGAAAAACUUUCGAAUAGAAGACUGAAGUAAUUUUUUUGACUUUUUGCUUAAAACGAUGCUGAUCCUUUUUUGUUUUCCAAAGCUAAGAAAACUUUUCUUUUGAGCUAUUUACCACUUUUAACAAAUGAGUAAAAUAUACUCAUCUGAACAAAAUUUGGAGCAUAUUUGUUUCCCUCUACCUGAUUUUUUCAGAAUUUUAAAACUAUUUUUGAGUAUUCUCAACUUAUGGCAGUAUAAUUAUUUGCAUAAGGGCAAUAAGAAUCUGUUUUCUUUUGUAACAGGACACAGUUGGAGAAACUGGUUGUUUUACCAAGGCUUUGACUGGAAUGUCAUGCUUUCUUUAAAUAAUCAAAGUUGACUUAUUGAGCCAACAAAAGCCCCUAGGGAAAUCUGCCUUCAUACCUUGUCUACACCGUCCCUAUUCAAGGUUCCUGACCUGUUGUAAGUAAAGAAUGUAACUUUCUAACAGGCUCAAGAGCCCCAAGUUAUCUUGGGACCUCAAGAGGAAUUUAUCCAACUCCUAGGUAUUUGAGGGUACAAACCUAUGGCUGGGCUCAGCUCUAAAAUGUCUUACCUGAGAUUCCUUAUGGAACAGAGUUCCAUCAAAGCCAAUUUUAAAAGCUGAUUUGAAAAAUAAUUAUUCUUUAUGCAAAUAAUCAGGCCAAGUACAAUAAGACUAAAGUUUAUUUUGUAAAUAAAUCAAUUCUAUUAUAAGUUGUUUUUAAUAAAAAUGGGGAUUGGAGAAAGAAAAUGUAAGCUUCAAAAGAAAAGCUCUAGUACAUAGGUUAUUAGCUGUUCUUGAGUUUUAUUUUUUUCCUGCAGUUCGGAGUCAAUCCUAAAUUAUUUGCCAGCUACAAGUCCCCAAACUAAUGUUUUCAAAUCUUUACUUUUAAACUAGGAAUUGCACACCUUACUCUAGUAGUCAUUAUUUACCUUAUAGUAUGCUCUUCCCUUAAAUGCAGUACUAAAACUAUAGAUGACAAUACUAAAGCCUUUGCCAUGCAAGCCUUGGAACCCCAGCCAGGACUGCAUGAGUAUAUGCAGACAGUUGCAAAGUGGUCCAUGCCUCUCACCUUGGGAUCAACAGCUAACCCCACUAUGCCCCUUGUCAGCAGGAAGAAGCCAGAGCAAUUCAUAGCCCAUAUUCACAGCCUACACCUUAAGAUUAAGGUGUUUUAAAACCCAAAAGGAGAGGUUGGAACCAACUUUGCAAAAUUAUCACUGAGACAGUGAAAGAGAUCUAACCUAACCAACUCCAUCUUGGUUCUAACCUUUAAUUGUCUUUGUUCCUUUCUGGGCACAGGCUGAAUUAACUUUGGGAGAAACUUAGUUUAAACUUUGUUUAAAACUAAUAAUAUAACAACUCUUUCCCAAAACAAACCUCUUUCUUGUCUAGGGUCUAAACUGCCUUUAUAGGACUAACAAAUUAGCCACAAGAUUAGAAAUUAUGGUUUGGGAACCAUGAAGCUGGAAACUACAAGAUUCUGACCCUCCCUAAACUGCUUCUUAGAUCAGUGCUUGAGAUAUUUUGCAGACCCUGCACUUGACAGAUCAGCUGGCACCACUCAGAUUGAUAAAUAGGCUUAUCUGAUUUUGUGGCUCCCACCCAGGAAAGGAAUCAGCACAAGAGGACAGCUUCAACUUCCCAUCAUUUCAUCUCCUACCUAAUCAAUCAGCACUCCUGGCUCACUGGCUUCCCCCUACCCACCAAGUUUUCCUUAAAAACUCUGAUCCCCUAAGGCCUGGGGAGACUGAUUUGAGUAAUAAUAAAACUCUGGUCUCCUGUACAGCCCACUGUGCAUGAAUUACUCUUUCUCUAUUGCAAUUCCCCUGUCUUGAUAAAUUGGCUCUGUCUAGGCAGUGGCAAGCUGAAUCUGCUGAAUGGUUACACAACCUUGUCUAUGGUGGAUAUUGAGUUUAACAGUUAUAACUUUGCCACUGUGUGAAAACAGAAUAUUUUAGAAACAAACAGAUUUGAGUUAUAUCCCCAGUUUUGUCUGUCAUCUAUUAGUUUUGAUAUAUUAAACAUGUUAUUUAAUUAUUUGGGCCUUUGUUUUCUCAUCUCAAGUCUGGAAUUAGUAAAACCACAUAACUCAUGAUAGUAUUCUAGAUAUUAAAUCACCUUAGGUAGUAUUUAUUUAGCAAAGUGCUAUCAUUUUUUAAAACAAAAUGUGUUAUCCCAUUUAACUUUCAUAACAAUCCUAUGACAUAUGUAUUGGCUCAUUGUUCAGGUUAAUCCAUUGAGUUUCAAAGGGCCUAAGCCAUUCCCAAGGCUAGCGUGUCAGUGAAUGGAGAAGCAUAUAUCUGGAAGGUGGCACACUCUUCCUCAGGUUUGCCCAGUUGGAGGUUAGCAAUGGUUGCCAUUCUUACAUAAAAAUAUCCAUUGUAAAAUUCAUAAUAAUAAAAGUAGUUUCAUGUAGACACUGUGUAGGGAGGUUCUAAUGAAAGAGAGAGAACCUACUUUAACAUAGCAGGGAAUAAUUAGCCACAAAGUAAAUAGCAUCUAAUUCCUCUUCUGUUUCCCACUUUAAUGUUUUAUUUUUGAAGGAAAGCUUUAAAACUACUGAUCAACAGAUAAAUUGACUUUAUCAAAAUUAUAAACUUUGAAACAUCGAAGGAUAGUCAACGGAGUAAAAGGCAAUCCACUGAAUGGGAGAAUACAUUUGCAAAUCAUAUAUCUGAUAAAGUUGAUAAAGCAUUGAUAUCAAAAAUAUAUAAAGAACUCUUAAAACUCAACAGCAACAAAACCAAACAAUCCAAUUAAAAGUGAAAAAUUCGAGUAGAUAUUUCUCAAAGAAAAUAUGCAAAUAGCCAAAGGCACAUAAAAAGAUGUUCAACAUCACUAAACAUUAGGGAAAUGCAAAUCAUACACACACCCAAAUGAGAUACACUUCACAUCUAUUAGGGUGGCUGUUAAAAAAGAAAGGAAAAACCAACCAACAUAAACAAAAUAAUGAGUGGGUUAGAAUGUAGAGAAAUGAACUGGGAUCUUUGUGCACUGCCAGCGGGAAUGUAAAAUGAUAUAUCCACGGUAGUUCCUCAAAUUUUUUUAAUUACCAUAUAAUCUGACAAUUCUACCUCUGGAUAUAUACCCAAAAAAUUUAAAUCAGGGAGCAAAAACUUGAACAGAUAUUUGUGCACAAAUGUUCAUACCAGUAUUAUUCACAACAGUCAAAAAGUGAAAGCAAUCCAAAUGUCCAAUGGACAGACAAAUGAAUAAACAAAAUGUGGUGCAAACAUACAAUGAAAUACUAAUCAGCCUUAAAAAGAAGGAAAUUCUGAUACAUAAUAUAGCAUGGGUAGACUUUGAUAACACCAUGCUAGGUGAAAUAACCCAGAGACAAAUAACAAAUAUUAUAUGAUUUCAGUUAUAUGCAGUAGUAGACUAGCCAAAUUUAUAAAGACAGAAACUAAAAUAGUGGUUCCUGGGGCUGCAGGAAGGAGAUGUAUUGUGUAAUGGGUAUACAGUUUCAGUUUGGGAUGAUAAAAACAGUCUAGAGAUAGAUAGUGAUGAUUAUUGCAUAACAAUGUGAAUGUACUUAACGCCACUAAACUGUAAAUUUAAAUGGGUUAAAAUGGUAAAUUUGAUGUUAUAU
rnacentral:lncRNA from 10 species